GAGGGGCAGUUGGAGGGUAUGAAGUUUGGCCACAAGGCUUUGGCCACAGCAAAAUGAACUAGGCCAUGGGUAGGCAAACUAAGGCCCGGGGGCCAGAUCUGGCCCAAUCGCCUUCUCAAUCCGGCCUGCAGAUGGUCCAGGAAUCAGCAUGUUUUAACAUGAGUAGAAUGUGUGCUUUUAUUUAAAAUGCAUCUCUGGGUUAUUUGUGGGGCACAGGAAUUCGUUCAUUACCCCCCAAAAAACUCUAGUCCGGCCCCCCACAAGGUCUGAGGGACAGUGGACCGGCCCCCUGCUGAAAAAGUUUGCUGACCCCUGAACUAGUCCUAGAAAUCCAAAGUUUCAUAUACAGUGGUACCUCAGGUUAAGUACUUAAUUCUUUCCGGAGGUCCGUUCUUAACCUGAAACUGUUCUUAACCUGAGACACCACUUUAGCUAAUGGGGCCUCCCGCUGCCACCGCUGCGCAAUUUCUGUUCUCAUCCUGAAGCAAAGUUCUUAACCCGAGUUACUAUUUCUGGGUUAGCGGAGUCUGUAGCCUGAAGCGUCUGUAACUUGAAGCGUAUGUAACCCGAGGUACCACUGUACAGUGGACACUCGGGUUGCGAACGUGAUCCGUGCAGGAUGCACGUUCACAACCCGCACCAUUCGCAACCUGCGCACACACGGGUUGCGGUUUGGCACAUCUGCACAUGUGCAAAGCGCGAUUUAGCGCUUCUGCGCAUGUGCGACCACCAAAACCCGGAAGUAACCCAUUCUGGUACUUCCGGGUUUUGGCCGUCCGUAACCCGAAAAAACGCAACCUGAAGCGGCUGUAACCCGAGGUAUGACUGUAUAUAUAUAUGAAUAUAUAUAUAUAAUAUUUUAGCAUCAGUGUGCCUCUCCUCCUGCCCACAGAACAAUGAAUGCAUCACACCCCUUGACAAGUGAUGUACGAAAGCUGUCUCCACACGCGCCACCGACCGGUGACUUUCUCACACCUUCCCCCGCCUCCGUGAGUCCGCAGGGAACAUGAUCGCUUCCGGGAGCCGAAGAAGACCGCUGAGUCACCGGCGGUCAUCGGGAUGAGUCGGCAUGGAAGCUGGAAACUGAGGGGGCAGCCUGCUUCAGAGCCAAGGUUCGAGGGAGCGCAGAUGGAGUCAGACCGGUGAAAACAACAAGGAGGAAAGAAGAGAAGCUGGUUUAUUUGUGGUGCCACCUAAUACCCGUUCUUGCAUUUGAA